AAACAAUAAACAUUUGACAUUUCUUUUUUUUUCUUGCUUGAAAAAAAACCCAUUAGUGUUUUAAACAAUAUUCAGACAUGCCCCAAAUAUCACAAAAAAAUGUACUGAAUAGAAAAUGAAACACCUCAUUAACAUCAAUAUUUAGUUUGACCUACUGAGGUAAGAAAAAAAAUAUUUUAAAGAUUUUCUGCCCUGUUUUGUACCAUACUCUGUUGGACAGUGCCAUGAUUAUAUUAUACUAUACGGAAGAUUUGAGUCAGUGCAUAACCAUACAUUUUAUAUGUUUAUUAGCCAAUCCAUUUAAUCACUGAAUGCCUGAGCUGGCCGUGUUAUUCUGCUGUUUCAGCAGCAUUUGUAUGAAAGUGAGCUGCAUGCUGCAUGUGUCAUGCACAUGCAUGUGUUAAAGUGUGUUUAACUCAGCAUUUUCUCUAUGUAACAUGCUGCACAGAGAGAAGGAGGGUGGAGAGUGUUUACCUGUCUACUAUUUAGUAAGCCAAAGCUGUAUCUGGAUAUUGAGGUGCUGUCACAUUCUGAAAACCCCACUAGUGGUGGACAAACUUAAACUCAGCUUAUCGAAUCACAUCGCUCACAUUUAGAGAUGACGUUAGCGCACUUUUGGACUCACAUGGGAACUCACUUCUGAAAUGCAUUUUUUGUAGAGCUAUUAUUUGAUAUGGGCUUUUUGCUGUGGAAACUGCUGUGCAUAUGCUGUACAAAAUCUAACCAUGAUAACCCAGAUAUAGAGAGCCAUUUUAUAUACAUUACUGCAAUUUUAAUAUGCACCGUAUUGUAGAGAACAUUCAAAGCUCAUGUUUUACUUCUCAAGGCAAGACAGAUGUUUGGAUGGAGUUCAGUUUGAAAACAACGGUAACGUAAUAGCUAAAAGAAAAAGUAUUAUACAUGUGUAAUGCAUUAUGAACAUGAAGGGUACAAAAAUGUCAUGUCGAUUGUAUUUUGUCAAUUCAGAUGAUAUUCUUACACCAAAUCACUUGAAAUAUUAUUUUUAUGUAUCCAGCACUGCCAGUUUCCAGUUAGCUUGCCAAAUGCAUUUUAUUUUUGUUGACUAAGGUAAGGAAAAAAUAACAUUAAAUAAUAUUUUCAGACAGGAUUUGUGGGGAAGGGGUUGGGGAGGGAAAUGCCACAUACUUUUUUAAAGAAACUGUAAAUAUUAAAGAUAUUAACAAG
ensembl:lncRNA